AAGUCGUAACAAGGUUUCCGUAGGUGAACCUGCGGAAGGAUCAUUACAACAAGGCCACGGGCCCCCGAAGCUCCGGCGGAAGGGGCACCGGCCUGACUUAUAUACCCACCCUUUGCCUAUGUGUACCUCUAUCGCUUCCUCGGCGGGUUCGCCCGCCGCCAGGAACCCACGCCAACCUUUGCAUUAUACAUCAACACUUCUGAUACCCACCAAAACUAUUACAACUUUUAACAAUGGAUCUCUUGGUUCUG
rnacentral:misc_RNA from 1 species